UACGUAGGGAGCAAGCGUUGUUCGGAUUUACUGGGCGUAAAGGGCGCGUAGGCGGCGCGGUAAGUCACUUGUGAAAUCUCUGAGCUUAACUCAGAACGGCCAAGUGAUACUGCAGUGCUAGAGUGCAGAAAGGGCAAUCGGAAUUCUUGGUGUAGCGGUGAAAUGCGUAGAUAUCAAGAGGAACACCUGAGGCGAAGGCGACUACCUGGCCCAUUCUUGACGCUGAGGCGCGAAAGCUAGGGGAGCGAACGGG
rnacentral:rRNA from 1 species